GAUGAACGCUGACAGAAUGCUUAACACAUGCAAGUCAACUUGAACUUCGGUUUGGGUGGCGGACGGGUGAGUAACGCGUAAAGAACUUGCCUCACAGAUAGGGACAACAUUUGGAAACGAAUGCUAAUACCUGAUAUUAUGAUUAUAUGGCAUCGUAUAAUUAUGAAAGCUAUAUGCGCUGUGAGAGAGCUUUGCGUCCCAUUAGCUAGUUGGAGAGGUGACGGCUCACCAAGGCGAUGAUGGGUAGCCGGCCUGAGAGGGUGAUCGGCCACAAGGGGACUGAGACACGGCCCUUACUCCUACGGGAGGCAGCAGUGGGGAAUAUUGGACAAUGGACCAAGAGUCUGAUCCAGCAAUUCUGUGUGCACGAUGAAGUUUUUCGGAAUGUAAAGUGCUUUCAGUUGGGAAGAAAAAAAUGACGGUACCAACAGAAGAAGUGACGGCUAAAUACGUG
rnacentral:rRNA from 1 species